rnacentral:rRNA from 1 species
GAUGAACGCUGGCGGCGUGCUUAACACAUGCAAGUCGAACGAUGAAGCCCAGCUUGUUGGGCGGAUUAGUGGCGAACGGGUGAGUAACACGUGAGUAACCUGCCCUUGACUCUGGGAUAAGCCCGGUAAACUGGGUCUAAUACCGGAUAGGAGAGCCUGUCGCACGCCGGGUGCUGUAGAGAUCUUUCGGUUAUGGAUGGACUCGCGGCCUAUCAGCUUGUUGGUGAGGUAACGGCUCACCAAGGGGACGACGGGUAGCCGGCCUGAGAGGGUGACCGGCCACACUGGGACUGAGACACGGCCCAGACCCCUACGGGAGGCAGCAGUGGGGAAUAUUGCACAAUGGGCGAAAGCCUGAUGCAGCGACGCCGCGUGAGGGAUGACGGCCUUCGGGUUGUAAACCUCUUUCAGCAGGGAAGAAGCGAAAGUGACGGUACCUGCAGAAGAAGCACCGGCUAACUACGUG